GACGAACGCUGGCGGCGUGCUUAACACAUGCAAGUCGAACGGAAAGGCCCUGCUUUUGUGGGGUGCUCGAGUGGCGAACGGGUGAGUAACACGUGAGUAACCUGCCCUUAACUUUGGGAUAACUUCAGGAAACUGGGGCUAAUACCGGAUAGGAUCUCCUGCUGCACAGGGGGGGUUGGAAAGAUUCGGCGGUUGGGGAUGGACUCGCGGCUUAUCAGCUGGUUGGGCGGGUAGUGGCGUACGAAGGCUGUGACGGGUAGCCGGCCUGAGAGGCGGACCGGGCACAUUAGGACUGAGAUACGGACCAGAAGCGAACGGGAGGCAGCAGGGGGGAAUAUUGCACAAUGGGCGGAAGCGUGAUGCAGCAGUGCCGCGUGCGGGAUGACGGCCUUCGGGUUGUAAACCGCUUUCGCCUGUGACGAAGCGGGAGUGACGGUAAUGGGUAAAGAAGCACCGGCUAACUACGUG
rnacentral:rRNA from 1 species